rnacentral:lncRNA from 1 species
AGCCCUCCUCUUUGCUCCCUGUCUGAAGUCUGCAUAUUCCAUGAAUCCUUGAGGGAGCCUGAUUCUUAUAAGGCAGGGGUCACUAAAGGAACCACAACAGUGUCUCCCUUGGAGAAAAGGAAAGGAAAUCACCACCGUUUAAGAACGCCACAGAAUUCAUUCCCUUCAGAUACUGUCCGUGUGUGAGUUACACGUGCCAACUGCCAGGAAACACUCCCUGAGUGGAUAACACACCCAACUGUGCCUUUGGCUGCCUACAACAGUGGCUGCCAGGUAUUAGUUGUUUUUCCAGGCCCCAUUAAGGACUCUUCAUCCUGUCCAGCAAGAGGCAUUAAAGCUUUCACGAGUUAAAGUUGUUCCCAGCUCGGUGUUAUUCAAAGGCAAUUUACACUAAUUAUUCGAGUCCACAGCGUUACCCAUAUUAGCAGAACGAACCAUC